GGCGAAUGACCAUUUAGGAACAAACAAACAUGUAUUAUGUAUGAACAUACAUAAUGAAAUGAUAUAUAUUAUGGAGAGCGAGCAGAGGUAGUCUUCCUGGGCUAUCACUAAAAUCAUUUCUAUUGUUUGUACAGAAAUAUGGUUUUAUUUUGGAGCUCAUUUGCACUUCAUAUAUAUUAGUAAUAUAUAUUACUAAACUCAGAGUCUUAUUCUAUUAGCAAAUAUUUCUGCUUUCCUCUUUGUAGAAAUAAAUGGUGCAAAAAUGUGCAAAAUUGCCUGCCAAAUGGAAUAAGACUAUGUGGGGCAGCUGUGGCUCAGGUGCUAGAGCGGGUAAUCAUAGGGUUGGCGGUUCGAUUCCCAGCCCACAUACCGCCACAUGCCAAAUUAUCCUUGGGCAGGAUACUGAACCCCAAGUUGCUCCUAAUGGCAGGUUAGUGCCUUGCAUGGCAGCUCUGCUACCCUUGGUGUGUGAGCGUGUGUGUGUGAAUGAGAAACAAUGUAAAACACUAAGGUUAAAAAGCCAUAUAUAUAUAUAUAUAUAUAUAUAGAUAGAUAGAUAGAUAGAUAUGAUCAGAAGGUCGGGGGUUCAAGCCCCAGCACUGCCAGUCUGCCACUGUUGGGCUCUUGAGCAAGGCCUUAACCCUCUCUGCUCCAGGGGGCGCCGUAUCAUGGCUGACCCUGCGCUCUGACCCCAACUUCCCAACAUGGUGGGGUAUGCGAAGAAAAGAAUUUCACUGUGCUGUAAUGUAUACGUGCACAAUAAAGACUCAUUAUCAUUAUCACUAUUUCUGCAGUAUAGCUCUACACUACAGGCUUUCCUGAUCUGAAAACAUGUCUCUCUUUUGCAUUUAAAUGUUCCAGCAUUUUCAUAUCUAGUUACCUCCAAAAGUGUAAAGGCAGAAUUAUUGCAUUUGAAAUAGAUUUCGUUCUGACUGCAGUGCAGGCGCGUCACAGACAUUUCGACAGCCGGGAUCUGAUUACAGACUGAAUUGAUUAGGCUUCUGUUCAUUUCAAUACAUCACAUAGCUCUACAACAGCUUCAUCAAAGUGAUGAUGCCUGUGUGAGGAAAUCAUCCAGCAAGCUUGUAGACUCUUUUAAGGCAAGCGGACUGUUUUUACCACUACACGUGUUAAACUGGCUCCUUACACCAGAAUAUUAUAAAGUAAAUCAAACCAGUUCCGUGUAAUUUUAGCGAAAAUGCUUAUAGUUUAAGGCGCCAAUGUAAGUUACAGGCAGAAAAACACAAUUUUGGCCCGAACCAUGUUUUCCCUGCUUUCUUUCUACACAUAUUUCUUUUUAUUUUCCCUAUUCUUAUCUUAGCAUAAUAUCUUUAAUAUUCUCAUAUUUCUCUAAUCGUCCUCAUGAGAUUAUUAUAAAUCAGCUAUAUGAUUAUUCACCCUGUUUUUAAAUGCGUUUACAAUUUUAAGCUUUAAUGUAAUUUUAAGUUCUUAAUUUAUUGGCAAAUAAUUUUGCUUCAUGGUCAAAAUAAAUUCUUUCAGCCAGUGGAGCAAGACGAUAUACAAAUGCCUCGAAAUGUCUAGAAAUAGCUGGAUAUAUGUAAAUAUGAGCAGUGUUAAUCACACGCAGGUGUACGCUCAUACAUGAAAAGUCUCUCUGAAACUCCGCCCUCCAUUCCAUUGACCACGCCCCGCCCCGCCCCUAUAUAAAUUAUAGGCAGAAAACCCCCAAAGUUCUUCAUCUUUUUUGCGUGUUUGACAGAAAUCAGCGACAGCUGAUGGGUUUCCCACACCGCCACACCUGCACCGUUCCUUUCUGGUAAAUCGACUUUCUGGUAAAAGCUGUAUUUUUAAGCACUAGGUCCACUUUAAAGUGAGGCCUUUUCUGUAUUUAUAGCAUUAGGAUUUGUGAUUUGAUUGACGCACAGAGCACAUUUGGUCUAUACCACCUGCUGUGCCGCUUUUGCUUUAGCUAGAUCAGACAAGACCAUCCAUGGGGUGCUAAUCUGAGGGCCACUUGAGGAGCCCUCCACUUAAGGGUUAUAAGAGAGAUGGAGGCUUUUAUUUAUUUAUUUUUCUUCUGCCCCCCUGUGCUGCACUUCGUAUGAGAGGCUCUCGAGCACACUUCUCAUGGAGCCAUUACGUCCUCGUUUAAAGAGUCGCCCAAUAACAGGACACAGGAGAGGCAGCCCGCUGUCGGCCUCCUGCGCACUCCACAGCCUGUAAGUACGGUCUCAUCGGGCGCCGAGUGCUGCUCUAAUAGCCACGACAAUUUACGGCUAACACGUGUCACUGAAUGAGAAUCAGCAGGAGGAGGACAGAGAGAAACCAACUGAGGUGGAAGACUUCUUCCUUUAUAAAGCUCCAGAGUAGGUGUGUAACAAAAUGGCUGUAUCUACAGUAUAUCUGUAUCUGUUAGUGGAUUGUAUUCGGAUUAAAACCUAAAGUGGACGUGGUCUAAAUCCUACUAUUUUGUCCCCACAAACACUGGAAAAAACACACAGGUAAAAAUGUCAGUUUGUUUGUUUGUUUUUUUAAUCCGUGCUCAUACAGUAAUUUUUAUAUUUUCUAAAUUUAUCUGGUUCUAGUUCCAGAAUAUAAACAGCUAUAUAAAUUAUUAGCCUAACUUAACCCACCAUGACCCGGACCAGGCCGUCAGUAAGGAUGCAAAAAAUGCGCAUCACAAAUAAAAACCUGUCAUGGAUUUCCCGGAGGCUACUCUGGACUACAGCUCCCAGCAGCCACUGCACUACACCAUGGUCACAUGACCACCUGCAUCUGAUUCACAUUCCAGUUAACGAGCACUAAUAUAUAUAUUAUAUAUUAUAUAAUUUAAACCUUUAGCUGCACUUGCAUCCAUCUCCACCUCUAAAUCAUGACUAACCUCCCACUAGCAUUUGUGACUAAUUUUUCCCACCUCUAGGCUCGACCAAAAAAUAAAUAAAAUAAAUAAAUAAAUAAAACAUCAAAUAAAAUAUUUAUAUCAUUAUUUACGAGAGUAAUUGUAAUGAAAAAUAUAUAUAGAUUAUUUAGAUUUUGAAAUGUGU
ensembl:lncRNA